rnacentral:rRNA from 1 species
CGAGAAUCCCGAGCUUGCUUGGGAGAGUAAAGUGGCGCACGGGUGAGUAACGCGUGGGUAACCCACCUUCGAAUCUGGGAUAACUCCGCGAAAGCGGUGCUAAUACCGGAUAAGACCACAGCCGUUUCGGCGGCAGAGGUAAAAGCUGACCUCUCCAUGGAAGUUAGCGUUCGAGGACGGGCCCGCGUCCUAUCAGCUUGUUGGUGGGGUAAAGGCCUACCAAGGCAGCGACGGGUAGCUGGUCUGAGAGGAUGAUCAGCCACACUGGAACUGGAACACGGUCCAGACUCCUACGGGAGGCAGCAGUGAGGAAUUUUGCGCAAUGGGGGAAACCCUGACGCAGCAACGCCGCGUGGGUGAAGAAGGCUUUCGGGUCGUAAAGCCCUGUCAGGUGGGAAGAACCGUUUCGAUGCUAAUAAUGUCGAAGCCUGACGGUACCACCAGAGGAAGCACCGGCCAACUCCGUGCCAGCAGCCGCGGUAAUACGGAGGGUGCAAGCGUUGUUCGGAAUUAUUGGGCGUAAAGAGCGUGUAGGCGGUCCGGUAAGUCAGAUGUGAAAGCCCUGGGCUCAACCCAGGAAGUGCAUUUGAAACUACCAGACUUGAGUACGGGAGAGGAGGGGGGAAUUCCCGGUGUAGAGGUGAAAUUCGUAGAUAUCGGGAGGAAUACCAGUGGCGAAGGCGCCCCUCUGGACCGAUACUGACGCUGAGACGCGAAAGCGUGGGGAGCAAACAGGAUUAGAUACCCUGGUAGUCCACGCCGUAAACGAUGAGCACUAGGUGUAGCGGGUAUUGACCCCUGCUGUGCCGUAGCUAACGCAUUAAGUGCUCCGCCUGGGGA